rnacentral:rRNA from 1 species
CCUUACCUGGCCUUGACAUACUAAGAACUUUCCAGAGAUGGAUUGGUGCCUUCGGGAACUUAGAUACAGGUGCUGCAUGGCUGUCGUCAGCUCGUGUCGUGAGAUGUUGGGUUAAGUCCCGCAACGAGCGCAACCCUUUUCCUUAUUGCCAGCGGGUUAAGCCGGGAACUUUAAGGAUACUGCCAGUGACAAACUGGAGGAAGGCGGGGACGACGUCAAGUCAUCAUGGCCCUUACGGCCAGGGCUACACACGUGCUACAAUGGUCGGUACAAAGGGUUGCUACCUCGCGAGAGGAUGCUAAUCUCAAAAAGCCGAUCGUAGUCCGGAUCGCAGUCUGCAACUCGACUGCGUGAAGUCGGAAUCGCUAGUAAUCGCGGAUCAGAAUGCCGCGGUGAAUACGUUCCCGGGCCUUGUACACACCGCCCGUCACACCAUGGGAGUUUGUUGCACCAGAAGUAGGUAGUCUAACCGCAAGGAGGACGCUUACCACGGUGUGGCCGAUGACUGGGGUGAAGUCGUAACAAGGUAGGCGUAGAUGA